ACGAACCCUAUCACCCUCGCCGCGGCAGCACCCACACAGCAUCACCGUCACCACACGGACAAAGCUGCGGCGGGAGCGCGUUGACUUGGAGACGGAGGUCUCCGGGUGGGGGAGUGGGUCAGAUUGUUAGCGAUAAAAUGGCGCACAUGAAACAAUUAGACAUUAUUGUAAAGUUACGUUGUGGUAUGACAUUAUAUUAAUCUAUUAAAUAUACAUUUCAAUCAUUUUCAUUACAGAUGCAUAUAGCAGAUGUGCUGCCUUGUUAGUGUAAAUUGAUAGUGUAUACACCUUCGGGAUGUAUGAAACAUGAAUUUCUUUCCUAACAGACUUCCUUUUGAUGAUGCCAGGCUGAAGCAAUGGUUGGUGAACAUGAGGAGAGAGACCAGCAGAUGGAACCACGAAAAGUCCCGUCUGCACUUCACACUUUGAGGAAGAUCAGUUUUUUAGAGACAAGCAGGUAUCCAAACUGAAAACUGAAUGAGCAGAGCCUCCAGGAGGAAGACCUGGUGUAUAGAGCCUCCAGAAGGAAGACCUGGUGUAUAGAGCCUCCAGAAGGAAGACUACCUGGUUUAUAGAGCCUCCAGAAGGAAGACCUGGUGUAUAGAGCGGUGUAUUUGGUGCCAUUUCAUCUGGAUGUGGAAACCAGACAGCGUUGACCACAUCCAAAGUACUCAAAUAUGUUUUGAUUAUAAUAAUGCCAGAAAAUCAAUUUUGGUUCAGCUUCUUCUGCUGAAAGGAUGGACAAACUUUUAGCACUUGGUAGUUAGAGGUUCAAGUUAUUAUGGUUGACUUAGUUUCUGCUGUAGUUUGAUAGGUGAUAGU